rnacentral:rRNA from 1 species
GAUGAACGCUAGCGGCAGGCUUAACACAUGCAAGUCGAGGGGUAACAGGGUCCGCCUUCGGGCAGACCGCUGACGACCGGCGCACGGGUGCGUAACGCGUAUGCAACCUACCUUUUACAGGGGGAUAGUCAAGAGAAAUUUUGAAUAAUACCCCAUACGAUCAUUGAGGCUCAUGUUUCAGUGAGGAAAACUACGGUGGUAAAAGAUGGGCAUGCGUCCUAUUAGCUAGAUGGAGAGGUAACGGCUCCCCAUGGCGACGAUAGGUAGGGGUCCUGAGAGGGAGAUCCCCCACACUGGUACUGAGACACGGACCAGACUCCUACGGGAGGCAGCAGUGAGGAAUAUUGGACAAUGGAGGCAACUCUGAUCCAGCCAUGCCGCGUGCAGGAAGACUGCCCUAUGGGUUGUAAACUGCUUUUAUACAGGAAGAAACACUCCCUCGUGAGGGAGCUUGACGGUACUGUACGAAUAAGGAUCGGCUAACUCCGUGCCAGCCGCCGCCGUAACAC